GAUCGAGUGACAGCAGCAAGAGCCCACCAGGGGACCAGGACUCAGAAUCAGACGACGACUAUGAUGAUGUGGACAUCCCGACGAUACAGCCUCCUGGGUUCAUAAUGCCGCCUGAUGAAACGCCGCCUCCUCUUCCUCCAAAGCCCAAACAACGAACCAGCUCAGAGGAAAGCAUGGCGGCAGAAGACGAUCGAACAAGAAAGCUGACCUCUCUGUGCGCCCCCACCCCGCUCAUAAGGACGUCCAGCGGGACGCACGUCCGGCCCACACCACAACCACGAACUACACGACACUCAGACCCUGCAUCCUUACCUCUCCAGUUUAAUGAGCCC